AUAUCUCCAUUAAAAGAUUUUUUCUUUUAACGGGUCCUUGGGCUUGGUGAUGAGAUUAGCCUCUUUGUAUCACCUUGCCUUAAAAGUAUGAGUGGAUGAGUGUCAGCCAUAGAUUUUUGUUAAGGCAAACCCAUAAAAAUCUUGUGCUUUUGUCAUCUGCUACCAAACAAACACACACAUAUGCAUAAUUCUUUAUGUAUUCCU
rnacentral:misc_RNA from 1 species